AUACAUGCAAGUCGAACGAGGCGCUUUUUGUAGCAAUACGAGGAGCGUCCUAGUGGCGAACGGGUGAGUAACGCGUGGGUGACCUGCCCCAAAGUGUGGGAUAACAGUCCGAAAGGAUUGCUAAUACCGCAUGUGGUCGCUGAGUUUAGAAGUUAGCGACUAAAGCAGCAAUGCGCUUUGGGAGGGACCUGCGUCCCAUCAGCUAGUUGGUAAGGUAACGGCUUACCAAGGCGACGACGGGUAGGGGACCUGAGAGGGUGGCCCCCCACUGGGACUGAGACACUGCCCAGACUCCUACGGGAGGCUGCAGUCGAGAAUCUUUCGCAAUGCCCGAAAGGGUGACGAAGCGACGCCGCGUGCGGGAAGAAGGCCUUCGGGUUGUAAACCGCUGUCGGGAGUUAGGAAGUGCAAGGAUGUUAAUAGCGUUCUUGCUUGACUAAGGCUCCGGAGGAAGCCACGGCUAACUCUGUGCCAGCAGCCGCGGUAAUACGUAGGGGGCAAGCGUUGUCCGGAAUUAUUGGGCGUAAAGAGCACGUAGGCGGCCUUGCAAGUCAGUUGUGAAAGCCUUCCGCUUAACGGAAGAACGGCAUCUGAUACUACAGGGCUUGAGUACGGGAGGGGAGAGUGGAACUUCUGGUGGAGCGGUGAAAUGCGUAGAUAUCAGAAGGAACGCCGGCGGCGAAAGCGGCUCUCUGGCCCGUAACUGACGCUGAGUGUGCGAAAGCUAGGGGAGCAAACGGGAUUAGAUACCCCGGUAGUCCUAGCCGUAAACGAUGGGCACUAGGUAGAGGGGUUUUGAUUAUCUCUCUGCCGGAGCUAACGCAUUAAGUGCCCCGCCUGGGAGUACGGCCGCAAGGCUAAAACUCAAAAGAAUUGACGGGGGCUCGCACAAGCGGUGGAGCAUGUGGCUUAAUUCGAUGCAACGCGAAGAACCUUACCGGGGUUUGACAUGGUAGAAGUAGGAGCCCGAAAGGGUAACGAACGGUAUCCAGUCCGUGACUAUCACAGGUGUUGCAUGGCUGUCGUCAGCUCGUGUCGUGAGACGUUGGGUUAAGUCCCCUAACGAGCGAAACCCUUGUCUUUAGUUGCUAACGGGUAAUGCUGAGCACUUUAGAGAGACUGCCGUCGUUAAGACGGAGGAAGGUGGGGACGACGUCAAGUCAUCAUGGCCCUUAUGUCCCGGGCUGCACACGUGCUACAAUGGUCGGUACAAAGGGAUGCUAAGUCGCGAGAUGGUGCGAAACCUAUAAAGCCGAUCUCAGUUCAGAUUGGAGGCUGAAACUCGCCUCCAUGAAGUUGGAAUCGCUAGUAAUCGCGGAUCAGCUACGCCGCGGUGAAUAUGUUCCCGAGCCUUGUACACACCGCCCGUCAAGCCACCCAAGCAAGAUGCACCCAAAAUCGCCUGCCUAACCCGUAAGGGAGGGAAGUGCCUAAGGUGUGUUUUGUGAGGAGGACUA
rnacentral:rRNA from 1 species